AGUCUCGUGAUUGGAAUGAGGACAAUGUAAAAGCCUUAUCGAGGAUCCACUGGAGGGCAAGUCUGGUGCCAGCAGCCGCGGUAAUACCAGCUCCAGUAGCGUAUAUUAAAGUUGUUGCAGUUAAAAAGCUCGUAGUUGAAGUUCUGUACGGAUUGAGUCUCCACGGAGACACAAGCCGUACAUCCGUCUGAUUCUUCAGACACUUUACCUUGAGCAAAUUAGAGUGUUCCAGGCAGGCGCCAGCCUGAAUAGUCCAGCAUGGAAUAAUAGAAAAGGACGAAGAGCCACUGUUGGUGCGUGGCCCUUAGUAAUGAUUAAUAGGGAUAGUUGGGGGCAUUCGUAUUUAAUUGUCAGAGGUGAAAUUCUAUGAUUUAUUAAAGACGAACCUAUGCGAAAGCAUUUGCCAAGGAUGUUUUCAUUAAUCAAGAACGAAAGUUAAGGGAUCAAAGACGAUCAGAUACCGUCGUAGUCUUAACCAUAAACUAUGCCGACUAGAGAUUGGAUGGGGAAUUCAAGACCCAUUCAGGAUCUUCCGAGAAAUCAAAGUCUUUGGGUUCUGGGGGAGUAUGGUCGCAAGACUGAAACUUAAAGGAAUUGACGGAAGGGCACCACCAGGUGUGGAGCCUGCGGCUUAAUUUGACCCAACACGGGGAAACUUACCAGGGCCAGACAUGGCAAGGAUUGACAGACUGACAGCUCUUUCUUGAUUCUAUGGGUGGUGGUGCAUGGCCGUUCUUAGUUGGUGGAGUGAUUUGUCUGGUUAAUUCCGAUAACGAACGAGACCUCAGCCUGCUAACUAGUUCGUUCCUGCUUAGGAUCGGGACUUCUUAGAGGGACUUUGGGGGUUACUCCAAGGAAGUUUGAGGCAAUAACAGGUCUGUGAUGCCCUUAGAUGUCCUGGGCCGCACGCGCGCUACACUGAUGCAGGCAGUAAGUUCCAUGUCAGACAUGUCAUGGGAACCUUCAAACUGCAUCGUGAUGGGGAUUGACUCUUGGAAUUCUUGGUCAUAAACGAGGAAUACCUAGUAAACGCAAGUCAUCAGCUUGCAUUGAUUACGUCCCUGCCCUUUGUACACACCGCCCGUCGCUCCUACCGAUUGAGUGGUGAGGUGAACCCUUCGGACCGCUCACCCGGGAAGUUGUGUAAACCUUACCACUUAGAGGAAGGAGAAGUCGUAACAAGGUU
rnacentral:rRNA from 1 species